ensembl:lncRNA
CGCCUCUGCCGCUCCUGCUCCAGACAAACAACGAUCCACGAUCCACGGAGGUCCCCCAGCCAGCGCGCUUCCCCUCUUCGGCCUGCGGCCUCCUCGUGCAUCUGAUUGGCCGGCCUCGGUCAUGGGCUGCCUCUUGGCUGCGAAGCAGCCUGGGAGAGCUUAGACUUCUCCCUGGAGAGAGCAGGACUCGGAGUGUGGGGAGCUGGCUCGAGGUAGCCAGGGAGACCAGAGCAACCGUCUGUGGGUCCUUCCAGAUACCAUCUACACUUGAGGGUGAAUUACUGCGAGAUGAACGUCGAUUCCCUGUCUGACUGCUCUAACGUUUGUGGAGUUCAAUGCUCAAGGGUAAAUUCUCAAUGCUCGAGGCCCUCCUACAGUUGACUCCUUCCCACGGCUCCCCCAGGAGGCCCUGCGUGCCAAGCAUUCCAGAAAACUCCUGGUACCCCCUUGCCUGGCCUUCUUUAACUGCCUUGGGCUCCUGCUCUUCAGGCCCAGCUCAGGUCUGCCUGCCCCCGAAGCUCCUUUCUCAGACGGAGCCCAGACUGCGAGAGCAAGGGAGGAAAUUCCUGUGAUCCAGAAGAUUAGAAACAGGGUAGGGAGAGCCCCAAGGAGAGGGGUUUGGCUCGGCUGAGCCCCUGAACUGUUACUCUCUGUGCUCUGUGGAGCCACAGCCAUCACAUCACAGGGCUUGUCUCCCAACCCUGUUGAGGAGGGGAGGAAACCCUAUAUCGUGCUGAAUAGAGAGCUCACUCGUUCUGGAGCAAAAUCUGCAAGAGAAACUGGGAUGGAGCUGGAAGAGACAGGGGCCCGACAAACCCAAUUGAGGCAGGAAACCUCAGGGCACCUCAGAGGAACAGGGCAGGGAUGGCUGCCCAGUUGACAUGUCUCUGACUCCUUCAGUGGUGGCCACUCUCAAGGAGAGUCCACUGAACCGUUCUUAAGAAGACAAGGAGAUGAUGGUGAAUGCAGAAGAUGGGCAGGUGGAUGUCCGCCCAGGAGCUCACUGUCCGUUCAUGUCAUUCUCCUUCACUUGCGCAGGCAUCCAGCAAUUCAGGUCCUUGGGCUGGUGUCCCAGGCACUGAGCUCCAGGCUGGGCACAAAAGGGAAGACAGCCCCUGCCCUCCAGGGUCUCGGGGACCCCGGGGAGACACUGGACUAAUCGCAGGAGAACAAGGCACAAGGAGGCACAGAGGAAAUGGUGGCUGAAGCUGGGAAGUGUUUAAAGGAGGCCUAGGUGAGGGUGGAUGUUCAUCAGGCUGCCGUCCAGUAGUCCAGGGCAAAUGGGGAGGGCAGAGGGCCGCUCCAGGCCAGGGUGGAGGGCGGCUCCUCCCACACGAGGCCACGUGGGGACCUCACUGUCUUCCCUCUCCUGGAUCAUUUCUUCUUCUCCCCAUUCCUUCUGUUCACAUUUCACUUGACUCUCGGGGUCUACCUCAGGUUCCCUCUCCUCCAUGAUGCGUUUCUUCCUCCAGCAUUCAGCAGUGCCCCCCUCCCGUGAACUUCUACAGCUCUUUCACCUGUGGCAGAGCAUUCAGUGCUUGAAGAAAUUGUUGUGUCUGUCUUUUUGUUUUUCUUUUCUGACUUGAUUGGAAACUACUUGAGCGUAAUGGUUACAUCUCAUACUUUGUUUUAUCUACAACAGUGCCCAGCACAUAGUCAGUGCCCAGCACAUAUUGGUGAUUGGUAAAAAUAAUACAAAUAAAUUAUCUCCCUCUCCUUCUCUCUCUUUCUCUCUCUCUCUCCUUCCCUUGCUCCCCUCUGUCUCCCUUCCACUCUCUCUGCCUCCUUCUCUCUCUCUUUCUUCCUCUCUCGUCUUCCCUCGCUCCCUCCCUUCCUUCUCUCCAAGGUCACAGCAGGAGGAGCACAGAGACAGCUGACCUACAUGAGCCCCCUCUGUGGCUCAUCCAGGAGAACCUCGUUGAGGAGACGCUUUGCAGGAUGGAAGCCUUUUGCAGAUGGAGAGCAAAAUCAGGCUGUGGGCUUUUGCAGGAGGCAAAAUUAUAAUUUGCAUUUCUCUGCGGAGUGAGAACUCUGUAAUUUAGGAUUUUGUCUAAUUGCUGUUUAGAGUUCCAGGGACUCUUUCUCUUCAGGCAGCCAUGUACUGGUUGGAGAGAGGCACUCUGAAUGGCCCUGAAGCUCCGUCCAGCCAUGGGAGCAGACAGGGAGCUGGUCAGUGCUGGAGUUCUGCAUUUUUUUCUGGAGUCCUGAUUUGUCCAGCAGUUGGAGGACAGGGACAGCACUGGCGCUGUGGGGGUUACAAGCACAUAUCUGCAGACAGCAUCUUUGGUCUGUGGCUGCUCCAAUUUCAGCUCCGAGCAGCUGCUAGCCAGAAACGAGGGGACCCCAGAGGCAGGCACAUCCAUGUUCUUCUGCAGCUGGGCUCUCCUUGCACACGUGUGUGAGGCUGCAGCCUCUCUGUUUCUCAUUUGCACUGUGGACAUUUGGAAAGUUACCUACGUCCGUUGAAAAAUUAUUUUUGAGCUUUCCUAAGUGGUGGUAAGAAUGACAAGCAGAUCCCUUGAGUACCUGGGGAGGAAUCAGGCACUACAGGCCCCACUCUCCCUACGAGCCCCACACAGGUUCAAACCCAACCCAAUCCAACCUGCGCUGUCUCCUUCUGUCUGAGUUUGGAGUGUCACCAGCAAUCAAUUUGUUUUUAAAGAAGGGCACAUCAAAAGACAGACAUUAUGGCCAUUUUUAUGGAUCUUGGGCAAACACCUUGGCAGAUGUAAAGCAAGCGUACUUUUCACUCAACUUUUUAUAACUGGCAACUCCUUGUGGUGAUAAGUUAAGGCCUCAGUUGUUAAAGCCACGGGGAGUACUGUUUCCAGGUGGGGCAGUGGCCAAGCUAAGAACAGGACGUUCUCCAACUGUCCUAUCUCCAGGGUCAUGGCCGGAUUCGGAUCCCUUCGCACCUGGCCACACCUUUUAUAAAGGUCAAGCCUGGCCGAAAUGAACAUCCUGGAAGUUUUGAAAGGGACGAAAGCACUUUAGACUUUACUACAACAUAGCACAGGGCUACAUAUAGAACAGAGCGUGUGUAUGUGUGUGUGUGUGCACGCGCACGUGUGUGUAGCGGGGAAGGCACUGUUGACAGGAAAGUAGUCGUGUUGAGAGCCAGCUGUCUCAACAUUGCAAAAUAAUGAUGAGUUACUGUGUCUUGUUUGCUUUCUACAUUAUCUUAUCUUAAUCUUCAAAACAACUCUAAAAUAUUACUAUCCCACUUUCCUAAACGAGGAAACUGAGACUCAGAUAACGUAUUAGUUUGCCAGGGCUGCUGUAACAAAGCACCACAAACUGUGUGGCUUAAACAACUGAAGCUCCUUCUCUCACAGCACUGGAGGCCGGAAGUCUGAAUGCAAGGUGGCAGCAGGGCCGUGCUCCCUCUGAGAUUCUGGAUAGAGUCCGUCCUUGCCUCCUCCUAGCUCCUCAUGGUGUCGGUCGAUCCUUGAGGUUCUUUGACUUGCAGCCACCUCACUCCAACCUCUGCCUCUGUCCCCAAGUGACGCUCUCCCCUCUGUGUGUCUUGGUGUCUGUGUUGUCUUCUCUUCUUAUAAGAACACCAGGCACGUUGGAUGAAGAACAAACCUUCCUCCAGGAAGAGUUUAUCUCAACUUAACUAAUCACAUCUCUAUUUCCAAAUAAGGUCACAUUCCGAGGUACUGGGAGUUAGAUCUUCCACAUACGUUUUUGAGGGAUACAAUUCAACCCAUAAUACAUAUGGAAGUAUCUUGCUUAAGGUAACACUGCCUGCAAAUGCAGAGAACAUUUGAACUCAGAACUGGCUCCCAAACUCUUUUUCUUUCCCAUACACUAAUUUAUGCAAUUGCACUAAUUAAGGUGUGAGAGUCCCUCACAUUUAUUUUAGCUUUGUAUUUUCUUAUCUACAACCCCCUUUGCAGCCCAGUUACUGUCCCUGCAGCGGGAGGAUGAGAAGGAAGAUGAAGGUCAGUGCUGGGAGCUGAGUGAAACUCAAGGACUGUGUCUGUAUCAGAGGUCCAUCAGGAAAACAGAAAUCACGCCAGAUAUUUCAAAUAGAGAGAAUUUAAUAUAGGAAUUUGGUUAUAGAUGUGUCAGAAGGACCGAAGGGAAAAAAAAAGAGAGAGAGACUAUAGUAGGAACAAAAACAGAGACUACAGAGGCCAGCCUGCUGGCAUAGUGGUUAACUUUGUGCGCUCCACUUUGGCAGCCCAGGGUCUAUGGGUUUGGAUCCCAGACACAGACCUACACCACUUACAAAGCCAUGCUGUGGUGGCAUCCCACAUACAAAAUAGAGGAAGAUUGGCACAGAUGUUAGCUCAGGGCCAAUCUUCCUCACACACACACACAAAAGAGACUACAGUAGGAUAUCAUAUGUGGGCAAUGUGGCAGCCUAGGUGUCAGGAGAAACGUCCCUAUAUAACUUUACAAACGUUCAGCAGAGGUAAAGGGAAAGAAAGGGAGAUUGUUAAAGACCUGAAAUGAUGUAAGAGAAAGCCAAAGCAUCUAUUCACCGCACAGGCGUUCUCCAUUCAUGGUCUUCCAGACCUUGGGUUUUAAGAGGCUACGGCCCUGGUGGCAGUGAGUAAAGUUUGGACCACACAAGAUGGAAUGUCAGACAAGACAUACUUAUGAGUGCCUCUCUUGAACUAGAAAAGACCACUGGACAGAGAAACAAUAAGAACACUUGCUUAUCUAAACCUUGGCUCUGAGGGAAGCAAAAAACAAAACCAGAAGUCCCCCAUGAAAAGACUCCUAAAAGAGUCUCCCAUGAAACUUCCUAACCACAAGCCUACACUCAUGUGGUCUGCGGCCAGAAUUCAUGGUUCUCAUGGGGCCCCAAAUCCUAAGCCCCAAAUUUUGUUUCAGAGAGUUCCAGGCUGGUGGCAUCCCAGGUGGCAGGCAGAAGCGCACAGGAAACCUCUCUGGAGGAACACAGUUCAAACCCAGAUUCCCCACAGGUACAGUUCCAGGGAAGAUGAGCUCACACAGAAAUCAGCAAACGCACGAGGAAACAAGUCACUGUAAGUGAGGGGCAACAGAAACCACAGCAGCAGAAUAAGAGUCACAAAGACAGCAGGUGUUGGAAUGACUAGAGACCAAAUAUGAAAGCAAUGUGUUUAAUAUAUUUAAAUAAAUAAAUGUGCAUUAAAAUAUAAUGAAGAAACAAAGAUGAUCAACAAUGACCAGGCCUUAUCUAGGAGGUUUUGAUUACAAUGGGUAAGUGGAAUUUGCCUGUAGACAGCCACUUUGUGUCAGAGAAGCCAGAGUUUCUGGAGGGGGUUGAGCUGAGGACCACUGUAGGGGGCGGGGUGGCCCCUUUGAGUGCUUAGGCAGGUAACAUUACUCUACACAAGGUAUUCCCAAUUGGAACAUGAUUGGAGAGAUGUUGAAAAGAUAGAAUAUUUUUGGGGGGUGGGAGGUGCUUCAUUGUAAAUGGAGAGAGACAGACAGAGCUCCCAGACAGGAAAGGAGGCAUAAUGUGUCACAUGCAGGCAAUAUGGCAGCCUCUCCCCAAAGAGAAGCAGAGCCCAAUCCUUGCUCCUGGCAGUGCUUGGUGAUGGGACAGAACUUCUGAGAAGAUGACUUGUGGGGUAUCUGAUGAAGCUCAGUCUUGGACCCCGGGGCACCCAGACUUGGCAGAGAUUCCUGGCCCAGAAGC